GAGUUUGAUCAUGGCUCAGAUUGAACGCUGGCGGCAGGCCUAACACAUGCAAGUCGAGCGGUAGAGAGAAGCUUGCUUCUCUUGAGAGCGGCGGACGGGUGAGUAAUGCCUAGGAAUCUGCCUGGUAGUGGGGGAUAACGCUCGGAAACGGACGCUAAUACCGCAUACGUCCUACGGGAGAAAGCAGGGGACCUUCGGGCCUUGCGCUAUCAGAUGAGCCUAGGUCGGAUUAGCUAGUUGGUGAGGUAAUGGCUCACCAAGGCGACGAUCCGUAACUGGUCUGAGAGGAUGAUCAGUCACACUGGAACUGAGACACGGUCCAGACUCCUACGGGAGGCAGCAGUGGGGAAUAUUGGACAAUGGGCGAAAGCCUGAUCCAGCCAUGCCGCGUGUGUGAAGAAGGUCUUCGGAUUGUAAAGCACUUUAAGUUGGG
rnacentral:rRNA from 1 species